rnacentral:sRNA from 1 species
UGCCUAACCCUCGUGAGCGAAACUCCGAGGUAUGGCAGAAAAGACCGUCCAAGGCACUGAACCCCGUAUCAGCAAGCCUUGGACGGUCAUAGUUCCGAAAGGGAUUAUGUGUGGCGAAAGCCAC